CUGGUCGCCUGGCUCCUCCACGUGCACUUGAUGCUCCAGCCAGAUAGACUGUGCACACCUGGGCAGAGGGAGUGCUGGAAUACUCCUCAUGAAGUCUAUCCAGUCACAUCUAGUUAAGACCAGCAGCACUCUCCUGUCCAAAUGGAUGACCCAUGUUACGACUAAGGAACAGAAGACCAAAUAACAAACUGCUCCUCAGAUCCAUUAUGGAGGCCUUCUUGGCUCAAUUCCUGAAUAUGAUAUAUCCUUAUAAUUUUGUUUUCUCUCCAAAAAAGAAUAUGCUGGCAAUGAAAGGAGUUCAUCUUGUCUAAGAGGAGGGACUGGAAAAAUAAUUUAUUUUGAGAUAGGGUCUCACUCUGUUGCCCAGGCUGGAGUGCAGUGGUGCAAUCUCGGCUCACUGCAACCUCUGUCUCCUGGGUUCAAGCGAUUCUUGUGCCUCAGCCUCCACAGUAGCUGGGACUACAGGCACGGGCCACCACGCCUGGCCAAUUUUUGUAUUUUUAGUAGAUACGGGGUUUCACCAUGUUGGCCCAGCUGGUCUCGAACUCCUGAUCUCAAGUGAUCCUCCCACCUUGGCCUCCCAAAGUGCUGGGAUUUGUUUUUAAUUUUUAAAAAUUAGCCAGGUUUUGCCAGGCGUGGUGGCUCUCACCUGUAAUCCCAGCACUUUGGGAGGCUGAGGCAGGUGGAUCACGAGGUUAGGAGAUGGAGACUAUCCUGGCCAAUAUGGUGAAAACCUGUCUCUACUAAAAAUACGAAAAAAUGAGCUGGGUGUGGUGGCACGCACCUGUAAUCCUAGCUACUCAGGAGGCUGACGGAGUAGAAUCGCUUGAACCUGGGAGGCGGAGAUUGCAGUGAGCCGAGAUCGUGUCACUGCACUGCAGCCUGGUGACAGAGCGAG
rnacentral:lncRNA from 1 species